rnacentral:lncRNA from 1 species
GGCUGACUGCACAGCUGUGUGCGGGAUGCUCCACAGACGAGAAAGCAGAGGCCGCGGAGAGGACCAACGACUUCCGAUCACAGCCCCUCCGCCUCAUGUGACCGGGCUUCAGGAACGCUGACGCACUUUGAGGACCGGCCGGAAUAACUUCCAAAGGGCGUAAGGAUGAAAGGGCUGACCCAGAAAGACAUUCCCCAAGCUGUCUUUCAGCUCUGUUGUUCUGUAGUUUUUAUCCUCCUACAAACCAGGAGCUGAGAGCACCAAGCCCUGUGUUUGAAGAAGAGUACUUUCCAGACAUGAGGAAGCCCCUGAAGGAUCUUGGGCAAGAGAGUGACGUGAUCAAUCAUAGCUUUUAGAAGAGGGGCGGCCUGGAGGGAUGGGCUCUGCUGUGGAGAGGAGGGCAUGCUCCAUGUGCACGAGGUGGUUGAAGCCACGAGAGUGAAUGAGACCACCCAGGAGGGGACAGGGUGUGAAGCGAAGAGGGAGCCUGAGGGGACAGCAGCCUGGAGCGGGUGAGGAAGAGGAGUGGUAAAGGAGGGGGGCUUCUCUGUGACCCCCAACCCUGGUGCAGCUGGCCUCAGCCUGAUGUCCAUGCCCUCCCUCUCCCUUCCUCUCAGUGGGCUGCCUCAAUCUCCCCAAUUGCUGGAACCUGG